rnacentral:rRNA from 1 species
GAUGAACGCUAGCUACAGGCUUAACACAUGCAAGUCGAGGGGCAGCAGGGAUUUAGCUUGCUAAAUUCGCUGGCGACCGGCGCACGGGUGCGUAACGCGUAUCCAACUUUCCCGUUACUCUCGGAUAGCCUUCCGAAAGGGAGAUUAAUACGAGAUGGUGUUCUAAUUCCGCAUGUUAUUAGAACUAAAGAUUCAUCGGUAACGGAUAGGGAUGCGUGACAUUAGAUAGUUGGCGGGGUAACGGCCCACCAAGUCUACGAUGUCUAGGGGUUCUGAGAGGAAGGUCCCCCACACUGGAACUGAGACACGGUCCAG